rnacentral:misc_RNA from 1 species
AAUGGGUUUGGCAUACAUCUUAAGGUGGAUUGUGGGUUUUUGAAAUUUCAAUGGUUUAAAAAUGUAUAAAUAAGGUGAAUUGUGAAAGUUAUUGAAUGCAAUCAUUAUAUGAUUUAUGGUAGAAGAGUAUUCUCCACUGAAAAUUUUGUGGUUUAGUUAGUGUUGGAUUUUUAUGACUUUAAUUGCAUGGUUUUGGAGUGAACCUGAUAAAUAAGUUUGACAUAUUAUGAUGAUUAUUAUUUUUAUAGGUUCAAUAGUCAAUAUAUUCACGUGGUCUUCCAUUGUAAUUAGAGAACAUAGAAAAGAAAAGGCAUGCACCUGUUUAAGGUAUCUGGGUUCAGUAAUGAGAAAAAUAAAAUUUCUUCUUUGGCCUUGGUAGCAGCUGCAUGAUUUAUAAAAUUUUAAAGUAGUUAGACAUGAUAUCAUUUUUAGGAUGAUAUGUUUUCAUGAUUAGGGACUGAAAUGGCACUGUCAAAGAAAGAUGGUAUUUUAGAAUUUACACAUUAAAGGUUCUUG